rnacentral:rRNA from 1 species
GACCCUGUUGAGCUUGACUCUAGUUUGACAUUGUGAAAAGACAUAUGGGGUGUAGAAUAGGUGGGAGCUCCGGCGCCAGUGAAAUACCACUACCUUUAUCGUUUUUUUACUUAUUCAAUGAAGCGGAACUGGGCUUCACCGCCCAUCUUCUGGCGUUAAGGUCCUUCGCGGGCCGAUCCGGGUUGAAGACAUUGUCAGGUGGGGAGUUUGGCUGGGACGG